rnacentral:rRNA from 1 species
UACGUAGGGGGCAAGCGUUGUCCGGAAUUAUUGGGCGUAAAGCGCGCGCAGGCGGUCCGUUAAGUCUUCUGUUUAAGCCCCGGGCUCAACCCGGGUACGCAGGGGAAACUGGCGGACUGGAGUGUAGGAGAGGAAAGUGGAAUUCCACGUGUAGCGGUGAAAUGCGUAGAGAUGUGGAGGAACACCAGUGGCGAAGGCGACU